GAGUUUGAACCUGGCUCAGGAUGAACGCUGGCGGCGUGCUUAACACAUGCAAGUCGAACGGGGAUAAGGAGGGCUUGCCUUCCUUAUCCAAGUGGCGGACGGGUGAGUAACGCGUGGAUAACCUGGCCCAUACAGGGGGAUAGCAGCUGGAAACGGCUGGUAAUACCGCAUAAGCGCACAGGGGCGCAUGCCCUGGUGUGAAAAACUCCGGUGGUAUGGGAUGGGUCCGCGUCUGAUUAGGCAGUUGGCGGGGUAAAGGCCCACCAAACCGACGAUCAGUAGCCGGCCUGAGAGGGUGGGCGGCCACAUUGGGACUGAGACACGGCCCAAACUCCUACGGGAGGCAGCAGUGGGGAAUAUUGCACAAUGGGGGAAACCCUGAUGCAGCGACGCCGCGUGGGUGAAGGAGUAUUUCGGUAUGUAAAGCCCUAUCAGCAGGGAAGAUAAUGACGGUACCUGACUAAGAAGCCCCGGCUAACUACGUGCCAGCAGCCGCGGUAAUACGUAGGGGGCAAGCGUUAUCCGGAUUUACUGGGUGUAAAGGGAGCGUAGACGGCAGCGCAAGCCUGGAGUGAAAGGAUGGGGCCCAACCCCAUGACUGCUCUGGGAACUGUGCGGCUAGAGUGCCGGAGGGGUAAGCGGAAUUCCUAGUGUAGCGGUGAAAUGCGUAGAUAUUAGGAGGAACACCAGUGGCGAAGGCGGCUUACUGGACGGUAACUGACGUUGAGGCUCGAA
rnacentral:rRNA from 1 species